rnacentral:rRNA from 1 species
GACGCUGAGAGAGGAGCUUGCUCUUCUUGGAUGAGUUGCGAACGGGUGAGUAACGCGUAGGUAACCUGCCUUGUAGCGGGGGAUAACUAUUGGAAACGAUAGCUAAUACCGCAUAACAAUAGGUGACACAUGUCAUUUAUUUGAAAGGGGCAAUUGCUCCACUACAAGAUGGACCUGCGUUGUAUUAGCUAGUAGGUGAGGUAACGGCUCACCUAGGCGACGAUACAUAGCCGACCUGAGAGGGUGAUCGGCCACACUGGGACUGAGACACGGCCCAGACUCCUACGGGAGGCAGCAGUAGGGAAUCUUCGGCAAUGGGGGCAACCCUGACCGAGCAACGCCGCGUGAGUGAAGAAGGUUUUCGGAUCGUAAAGCUCUGUUGUAAGUCAAGAACGAGUGUGAGAGUGGAAAGUUCACACUGUGACGGUAGCUUACCAGAAAGGGACGGCUAACUACGUGCCAGCAGCCGCGGUAAUACGUAGGUCCCGAGCGUUGUCCGGAUUUAUUGGGCGUAAAGCGAGCGCAGGCGGUUUGAUAAGUCUGAAGUUAAAGGCUGUGGCUCAACCAUAGUUCGCUUUGGAAACUGUCAAACUUGAGUGCAGAAGGGGAGAGUGGAAUUCCAUGUGUAGCGGUGAAAUGCGUAGAUAUAUGGAGGAACACCGGUGGCGAAAGCGGCUCUCUGGUCUGUAACUGACGCUGAGGCUC